UGUGGACGACGUAGCUCAGCAGAGAACCAAACACUUCCCACCUCUGGACGAUGUCGUUCCCGCUCCUGCCUCCGCCACUGUCUCAGCCUUCUCUUCGUCGUCGCUGCCGACUCCGCCGCUGUCUAAGCCUUCUCUACGCCGUCGCUCCCACCUCCUCCGACGUCUAAGCCUGCUCCAAAGUUUCUGCCAUUGUCGUCUCUUCCCGACUGUACUGCGGUCUCCAUCACCAUCCUAUAGUCUACUGUGGAUGAGGAAAUAAGAAGACCGCCAAUUUCAAUCACUCAUUUCAAAAUGUGAGGCCGAAAGACAAGAAUGGGAGAAGACUGCCUAGGAUUCAGCAUCCACCUGCAACACCGAAGAAGAAUCCGUUUGAUGAUGUUCCUCUGCAUAGAUGUGAGGGCAGUGAUCACUAUAAGGAAGAAGAUUAGGAAGGGGCUUGUUGACAAGAUUGAAGACCAAUGAGUAUCUUCCAUCAAUGGGAUUGGGGGUGCACUGAAGCCAACUGAGAACUGAAGGUGAGCAAGCCACAUAUGCAAGUGCAAACAAUGACCUAAAAGGCACAAAGGCAUAUCAAGAAGUUGAUGUCCCUGGGCUAUACAAUCUUGCAAUGGCCAUAAUUGAUUACAGAGGUCACAGGGUCGUUCAACAGGUAGUUGAAGCUGCAAAGCGUCUCCACUUGAACUUACAUGCUGUCUAUGAUGGAUCUGGAAAUAUUUUUGAGUUGGUUGCAUCAGUGGAGUACAAGGGUAUUGUUGGCAGCGAUGACAGGCAUUAUAUAUUGGACCUGAUGAGAGUCACACCUUGUGAUGCCAAUUGUACCUGUCCAGGUUCCAGAUUUUGUAUUUUGAGACCUGAGUUGAACAGGCGUUUCUGACCUAAUUAAGGCCAUCUCCGACCACUUUUCGAUGGUCGGAAAAUGACAAAUUUCCAGCAGUGUAGCUCUGAAGCAAAUUCUGGAAAAAUAGCAGUUUCGGAUUUUGUUACUUUUUUCGCUGUAGGGUCUUUAUAUUUAUUGUCACAUUUAGAUGCAAAACUUUC